UCUUACGCUUGAGCAAAGAAAGUGGUUUCUUGAGAUGGAAUCUACUCCUGGUGAAGAUGCUGUGAA
rnacentral:pre_miRNA from 1 species